rnacentral:lncRNA from 11 species
GUCAGGACAGCCAAGGCCUCGGGAAGAGCUCGACUUUGCACUUUUGCAAACAAGGGAAGGUGCAGCGUCUCUGGAAUGUAAGCCAGACUCAGAGUUGGAGAUGCAAGAGGCCAAAGACCAGGAGCCAAACAGGAAUAAUAGAAGGCCAUAACAAUAUAACCAGGCAGCAGGUUAAGCAAUGGGACUCAGCAGAUCUGUCUGGGCUUUCAAGUCUGCAUGAGAACCUUCAAGAUGCAAGGCAAGGAAGACUUCACAGGAAUGGCUGUCCUCCAUCUCCUCCUUCAUUGGGGAUAAGUCUCGUUUUUCACUCUUUUAUUGGCCUUUGUAUUUCUUCCUUUGAUGGGCCACGUGUUCCGACGAUUCGCUCUGAAUAUAUUCAAUAUCCCCGCCAAGAGAAAAGAUCAUGAAAAGGAACAAAAAUGAGACAGAAUGAGCGAUGAGACCUGAUCGACUGGGUUUGCCUCAUUUCGCUUUCAUGGCACAAUGGGGAACGGAUGGCGAGGCUAUGGAGUGUUAGUCACAAGUCUAAAGAUGGCUGCGAAAUGGAAUUGAAACCCCUGCCUCCUUUCUCCAGGGAUUUCACAGCAAACAGGUAUAUUUCACGGUGUUUGCUUUGAUACUUCGCAGAAGGUUGCUUAAAAUUCAGGCAUCCAGACAAUCCUUUUGGUAUUCCAGUUGCUUCGUCUGCAGAAGUCAUCGAGCAUCCAUGGAAAUUAUAAAAUAGAUGCUGCACUUGGACUGUUCUGGAAAAACCUUUGCUUUUAAGAUGAGAAUAAUAAUAAUAAAAAUAUUUCUGUUCCAACCUAUUUCCCUGAAGGGACUCAGGGCAGAUUCCAACAAACAAUGCCUUCAAAAAAAACAAAAAAACAAAAAAGAAACGGAUAAAUAUUGGCAUAAAAUCCCAACAAGACCCCACAUAUGAAUACCUAACAUCAAAUUAAACCUAAUAUCAGUGAACCGAGUAUUAUUUAUUUAUUUACAGUACAGUAGAGUCUCACUUAUCCAAGCUAAACGGGUUGGCAGAAGCUUGGAUAAGCGAAUAUCUUGGAUAAUAAGGAGGGAUUAAGGAAAAGCCUAUUCAGCAUCAAAUUAGGUUAUGAUUUUACAAAUUAAGCACCAAAACAUCAUGUUAGACAACAAAUUUGACAGAAAAAGUAGUUCAAUACGCACUAAUGUUAUGUUGUAAUUACUGUAGUUACGAAUUUAGCACCAAAAUAUCACGAUAUAUUGAAAACAUUGACUACAAAAAUGGCUUGGAUAAUCCAGAAGCUUGGAUAAGCGAGGCUUGGAUAAUUGAGACUCUACUGUAUUUAUAUUCCGCCCUUCUUUCUUGUCAGUGUUUUUUUUGGUGUUAGAGUGUGAAAUGUUAAAUUCAGUUGUUGCUGAAUUUAUCCAGCAGCACAGGAGUUAAUUACAUGCCAGCCCUGAUUGAUUGCCUGCAGGGCCAAUGGGUCAAGACUUCCUUUCAACUGGGUGGACGGAACAUUCGUCAUGAACUGUGGAAUGUUGGGAGUGCUUUGCUAGCACUGAUAGCAGACUCUGCGAACUGAGAGGACGUGCCAUGCUUUGCCCUUGCCGGGGAACAUGUGCCCAGAGAGCGAUGGUGUUUAGAGUUGUAUAUAGUCUGUAAAUAAAAGUAUCGUACUGCUGGGAUCAGCAGAAAAUUUACGACUGAGGUGUCGUUUUGUCGGUGCCACUUUGCGGGA